CCAGGCAGGCAGCCCAGGGGCGUGGAGGCCCAUGCCCCCAAGCUAAGCUAGGCCCCUGCUAGCCGUCCACUAAAGCAGAGCGCUGCGUAAACUAAUCGGCGUUGAGAUCGGCAAAGCCGCAGUAUAAAUUCAGCCGGAGCUCCGGUGAGGAGACCUUUGGGGGACCAGCGAGGUGCCCCCUGCUGGUCUCCUCCUCUCUUCUGUCCAACCAAGCUCGGCGGAAACUAGAACUGCCUACAUCGAUGCAUGCGUCGGCAUCUAGUAUGGAAUACAUGCAGCACAGGCAGGGUUGUUGGCGCAGAGAUUUGGACGGCCUUGCGACAUUGGCGCCGGUCACCAGAUCUUGGAUGGAAGCAGAAGGGAAAACGGGUCAUGUGGCUAGCAGCUUCUGUUUUUUCCCCCUUAUAUUUUCACUUUGGUCGAUUGCUCUUGUUGAUUAACUGCUAAACUCACCUCUUUUUCUACCUUUCAUCUUCUCUGUUGGGACUUGGGGGCACGACUUGUAAAGCUUGUUUUUGCAAGAUCUAGCUCCCUUGCAAACGCUAUGUCGUUGAUGUGUCCUCAUGCAUGUUUCAGUGUUCUGUCCGCCAUUGUGUAGUACUGUAGUGUAUGCCCUUCAUCACAUGUUACUUUUUAAGAUACUGUCAAAGCUCUGUUUAGUAGAGUUCUUCUGAGUGUGA